CUUGGGCGAUUUCUGAUGGUGGGAUAUGUUUUCCACUGGGGCCUACGCUUACCACCUGCCUCCCAGUUUUCCCGUCGCCUUCAGAAGCUAGUUAUUUUUACAAAGGAGCACUCCUCCCUCCAACCCAAUCUUAAAUACAGUUUUGGAACAAGGAGCCUGCCUCCUCUAAGGUAACGGCCGCUCUCCUGUACCAGCUGCUGUCACUUCCUUCACAUGAGUGGACACGUGUUUCCUCUCCUGGUUCCUCUUUAUUUCCCUGCCCUUCCCCCUCUGUGGGGAUGAGGGCAGGCGGGGCUCCUCGCCCCAGGUGCUGCGUAUCUGAUCAGUGCCCUAGAACCGACUGGCGGAAGAUUCUGACCGGGUCUUCCUACAAAGUCUCCACCAGCAUCUGGAGGUUUGGGCUGCAAGACAAAGGCUGGUUCCCCAUCCAUCAGCUUUCUCGGUGUCUUCUCUUCCUGGGGUCAGACUGGUCCUCUCUGGUGCCUAGUGGAAACGCGUCAGUCCUGGAUUUCUGCCUUGCUCCAGCCUCCUAAUACCCAUGAGGAGAUAGCAGCUCUCAGCACCUGGCCCAGGCUCUCCAUGAAAUCCUGGCAUGGCAACCAGAUGUGGGAUGCCAGGCCGCCACCCAGGGAGGCGAGAGAGCUUCAGUGGAGGAGACCGGUGCUGACAGAGGGGACUAGAAGCACGCCAGGGAACAGCUGGAGCGCGGGACGGAGGCAGCGGGGAACAGACCUGCGUCUCCAUCAAGGUUUCAAGCCAUCCUCUGACAUCGCUCGUCAGGGAUUUUACCGCUCUCCCAGGACGCGCAGCUAUUGAGGCUCUUUGGAAACUUUGUUCUGCCCACAAGUACUCACGGACAUUCACACGCUUUCAGAGGUCGUGUAGACGCCCUUAGAGUCCCAUUUGUGACUAUUUUAAAGGUCGCUUUUUAUUUACACCGAAAAUACGUAUAAGAACUGUUUCUGUGAAAUUAGGUCACAGUCAGCGAGAACCAAGAGACUUACAUUCCUCCGUGCAGGAAACAGUUUCAUCAUCACUGCCAUCAAAGACGCUGCAUGGAAGGUCAGCUCUGGACUGUGUGUAGAGCGCUCCGAUCGAGAUCGUUAGAUCUCUGCAGAUAGGCGGCUAACGCGUCACUACAAAUGUGGGUAGAAGGAGGACACCCUAGAGUUUCACGAAUGAAGAGAUUUUCUGAGGAUCAAGCCAGCGGCCACGCUUCCCUCCCAUCCCCGGAUCUGUCUCCGCCCACCGCAAAGAAGCCAAAGGAAAAGGAAGAGCCAUCCUUUUGCUGUGCCUCUCUCGCUGGGUUCCCCUUCACAUUCUCUGAGGAAUUAUCUAUGCCUAUUUUAUCAGUGGAGAAAAGGAGGCUCAGAACGGCCCAGAAACUUGCCAGCCGUCACAUGGGUAGAAGCCAACUGAGAAGCAAAUGCUUUCCAGAGUUGGGCCGCGUCUGGGAGGUACUACCUUUAAACAUGGAGUCGACUGCGACCUAACGAGACCCAAGGAGUCUGCUGGCUGGCCUGGUCCCCAAGCAGAAGCAGAUCACUGCCCAACUUCUACGUGUGGGACGACCCGUGGCAACAUAAAGGGCAAACACACAAGGAAGUCUUUCUUUCUGAGAAUGUUUCCACUGCAGUUAGGUUAGAAAAUGAUCCGGGGAAGAUAUAAACUAGCUCUUUCAUUUAGCAAAAUAAAAUGCCUCUCCACUUGGUAAUCUGGGUGGUGGAAGUCCCAGCCAGAGUCUUGGUUUUUAAAGGUUUUGUUUAAUUUGCCACCCCCACACCUCUCCUCCCACCGCCUCGCAUCAGGCUGGACAAGAAGAAAGGGGACAGUGGCCUGGCAGAUGCCUCCGUGUGGUAUGUCCUUGCAGAAUAGCUUCAGCGGCACUUUGUAUCAAAUAACCAGGGGAAAAAAGGGAAGUGGAGGUGAUGGGAGGUGUCUGCAUUUCCUGGGGUUUUGUUCCAGUUUUAAUGAAUAAGGAUAAUGCAUAGAGUGUCUCCAUUUCCAGAGCUGUGUUUUUUUCCUUAAACACUGCCGCUCUUCAUGGGGAAGGAAUGAGACAUUCCUGACACAUGAUUUGGCAGGUCUCAAUCAUAAAUGAUCCAAUAUUGGCUUUCAGAAUCCCGUUCCAGAUUUGGCCCAGACUCCAAACCCUGUCCAGGCACCAGCUAGAUGAGUACCUCUGGGCCUGGGCGGGGUGCCAGCCACACUUUGAAUAACAUUUGUGGGAUCUCCCCAGGGGUUCUGGUGAGGAAGGCAGUGAUUUGUUGUCCGGAUGGCUUUUCCCUCCUUGGAAAAGAGCACACGGAAUGAAAGUGCAUGAAGGACAUCAGGUGUCCCCACAGGAGUUUCAUAAAAGCAAAGACACAGAGGAGCCACCAUGCAGGGACCAAGUGAGGAACGUUUUGUCCCCGCCCUAAGGGACUUGCCCUCAAUCAGCUAAUCCCACUAUGGUGCGGCUGGUGGCACCUGUCAAGUUAAAAAGUGAAAUCUACCAAACUUAUUUGUCUUUGGGGGUGGGGCUGUGUCUUUUCCUGAGUGGUGCCCCGUCCGGCAUUUCUCAAAACAUGAUCUAGAGACUCGUCUGCAUUAGAAUCGAGGGGAUCUAGUUCAAUGGCGGAUUUUUGGUCUCCUAAUCACCUACUGAGUAUGUGCGAACUAGAGCCAAGAAUUUGCUUCACAGCAACCUGCCAGGCAAUCCUGAUACACCCCAAAGUUGUGAGCCAUUGGCUAUAAAAAAUCCUUCACAUAUUUUUAAUCCAUCGCAGCACCUCGUGGCGGUGGAGAGUAAGACUGGCUUCGUUUUGCUGAUGGCCAUGUGAAUUUGUUUCACUGCGUGUCUACUUACUGUAGGGAAAGUUUGAACUGUUAAAGACGGGGGCUACUUUAAGCCUUUGCUCUUGCCGAUUGAUACAUGUGUCUUGUCCUUUUGCAGUUAUGGUUAUCAUCUGCCCACCAACAGUAUUUCUAAGAAGCUGCUUCUCUGUGUCUUCUGGGAAGAAUGUAUCCUUCAAUAAAUGUGAUUGCAGCCUGUUGAUAAAAGCAAAAGAAAAAUAAUAAAACCCACUUUGUUGAACUUCUCA